rnacentral:rRNA from 1 species
CCUACGGGUGGCAGCAGUCGAGAAUCAUUCACAAUGGGGGAAACCCUGAUGGUGCGACGCCGCGUGGGGGAAUGAAGGUCUUCGGAUUGUAAACCCCUGUCAUGUGGGAGCAAAGUAAAAAGAUAGUACCACAAGAGGAAUAGACGGCUAACUCUGUUCCAGCAGCCGCGGUAAUACAGAGGUCUCAAGCGUUGUUCGGAAUCACUGAGCGUAAAGCGUGCGUAGGCUGUUUCGUAAGUCGUGUGUGAAAGGCGCGGGCUCAACCCGCGGACGGCACAUGAUACUGCGAGACUAGAGUGAGGGAGAGGGAACCGGAAUUCUCGGUGUAGCAGUGAAAUGCGUAGAUAUCGAGAGGAACACUCGUGGCGAAGGCGGGUUCCUGGACAUUCACUGACGCUGAGGCACGAAGGCCAGGGGAGCGAAAGGGAUUAGAUACCCGGGUAGUC